UACGUAGGGUGCAAGCGUUAAUCGGAAUUACUGGGCGUAAAGCGCACGUAGGCGGAUUGUUAAGUCGGGGGUGAAAUCCUGGAGCUCAACUCCAGAACUGCCUUCGAUACUGGCGAUCUCGAGUUCGGGAGAGGUGAGUGGAACUGCGAGUGUAGAGGUGAAAAUUCGUAGAUAUUGCAAGAACACCAGUGGCGAAGGCGGCUCACUGGCCCCGUAUC
rnacentral:rRNA from 1 species